UUUUUUUCUAUGAGAAGUGCAAAAAUGCUUGCUGGAUAUUUGGCAUUUGAACAAAGAUCCCAAAAAGUGAGGGAGCCAUGUGCCUUUCUGAGGGGAGAUGGACAAAGGCAGCGGAAACAGCUUAGUGAAGGCCCAGAGUUUCCACAGGGAGGACAGUGCUUUCCCCUCAUUCCUUCUGCCCUGGACUGACCUUGGUGCUUCCUCUCUGGUCCUAUAUGGAAUGCAGUGCCUUCUUCCUGUAGGGAACUACACAUUUGGAAUCCAGCCAACAGCCUCUAAGGAAACUCCAAAAGCCCCAUGGAGAAGAUAUAUAAGUAUUGUGAUGGACAGGUGAGGUCCAGCCAUCAGACAAGGCCAGCUGUCAGACAUGCAAGAGCAGUGAGUUUUCAGGUGACUAUAGCCCUCCACUGUUGUUAUCCCAGCUUCUAAGCCACUCUGCUUGAUGCCAUAUGGGACGGGCAAGCUAUUCCUAUUGAGCCCUGUGCAAAUUACAAAUUUGUGAGAAAAAUAAAACAUGUUUUCCAUUUUACAAUGCUAAGUUUUGAGAUGG
ensembl:lncRNA